GACGAACGCUGGCGGCGUGCUUAACACAUGCAAGUCGAGCGGUAAGGCCCUUUCGGGGGUACGACGAGCGGCGAACGGGUGAGUAACACGUGGGUGACCUGCCCUCAGCUCUGGGAUAAGCCUGGGAAACCGGGUCUAAUACUGGAUAUGACUCCAUGACGCAUGUUGUGGGGUGGAAAGCCUUGUGCGGCUGAGGAUGGGCCCGCGGCCUAUCAGCUUGUUGGUGGGGGAUGGCCUACCAAGGCGACGACGGGUAGCCGGCCUGAGAGGGCGACCGGCCACACUGGGACUGAGACACGGCCCAGACUCCUACGGGAGGCAGCAGUGGGGAAUCUUGCGCAAUGGGCGAAAGCCUGACGCAGCGACGCCGCGUGAGGGAUGACGGCCUGGUGUAA
rnacentral:rRNA from 1 species